AACGAACGCUGGCGGCAGGCUUAACACAUGCAAGUCGAGCGAGACCUUCGGGUCUAGCGGCGGACGGGUGAGUAACGCGUGGGAACGUGCCCUUCUCUACGGAAUAGCACCGGGAAACUGGGAGUAAUACCGGAUACGCACGUUGGGGGAAAGAUUUAUCGGAAGAGGAUGGGCCCGCGUUGGAUUAGGUAGUUGGUGGGGUAAUGGCCUACCAAGCCGACGAUCCAUAGCUGGUUUGAGAGGAUGAUCAGCCACACUGGGACUGAGACACGGCCCAGACUCCUGCGGGAGGCAGCAGUGGGGAAUCUUAGACAAUGGGGGCAACCCUGAUCUAGCCAUGCCGCGUGAGUGAUGAAGGCCUUAGGGUUGUAAAGCUCUUUCAGCUGGGAAGAUAAUGACGGUACCAGCAGAAGAAGCCCCGGCUAACUCCGUG
rnacentral:rRNA from 1 species